rnacentral:rRNA from 1 species
CGGGACACGUGGUAUCCUGUCUGAAUAUGGGGGGACCAUCCUCCAAGGCUAAAUACUCCUGACUGACCGAUAGUGAACCAGUACCGUGAGGGAAAGGCGAAAAGAACCCCGGCGAGGGGAGUGAAAAAGAACCUGAAACCGUGUACGUACAAGCAGUGGGAGCACGCUUAGGCGUGUGACUGCGUACCUUUUGUAUAAUGGGUCAGCGACUUAUAUUCUGUAGCAAGGUUAACCGAAUAGGGGAGCCGAAGGGAAACCGAGUCUUAACUGGGCGUUAAGUUGCAGGGUAUAGACCCGAAACCCGGUGAUCUAGCCAUGGGCAGGUUGAAGGUUGGGUAACACUAACUGGAGGACCGAACCGACUAAUGUUGAAAAAUUAGCGGAUGACUUGUGGCUGGGGGUGAAAGGCCAAUCAAACCGGGAGAUAGCUGGUUCUCCCCGAAAGCUAUUUAGGUAGCGCCUCGUGAAUUCAUCUCCGGGGGUAGAGCACUGUUUCGGCAAGGGGGUCAUCCCGACUUACCAACCCGAUGCAAACUGCGAAUACCGGAGAAUGUUAUCACGGGAGACACACGGCGGGUGCUAACGUCCGUCGUGAAGAGGGAAACAACCCAGACCGCCAGCUAAGGUCCCAAAGUCAUGGUUAAGUGGGAAACGAUGUGGGAAGGCCCAGACAGCCAGGAUGUUGGCUUAGAAGCAGCCAUCAUUUAAAGAAAGCGUAAUAGCUCACUGGUCGAGUCGGCCUGCGCGGAAGAUGUAACGGGGCUAAACCAUGCACCGAAGCUGCGGCAGCGACGCUGAUGCGUUGUUGGGUAGGGGAGCGUUCUGUAAGCCUGUGAAGGUGUGCUGUGAGGCAUGCUGGAGGUAUCAGAAGUGCGAAUGCUGACAUAAGUAACGAUAAAGCGGGUGAAAAGCCCGCUCGCCGGAAGACCAAGGGUUCCUGUCCAACGUUAAUCGGGGCAGGGUGAGUCGACCCCUAAGGCGAGGCCGAAAGGCGUAGUCGAUGGGAAACAGGUUAAUAUUCCUGUACUUGGUGUUACUGCGAAGGGGGGACGGAGAAGGCUAUGUUGGCCGGGCGACGGUUGUCCCGGUUUAAGCGUGUAGGCUGGUUUUCCAGGCAAAUCCGGAAAAUCAAGGCUGAGGCGUGAUGACGAGGCACUACGGUGCUGAAGCAACAAAUGCCCUGCUUCCAGGAAAAGCCUCUAAGCAUCAGGUAACAUCAAAUCGUACCCCAAACCGACACAGGUGGUCAGGUAGAGAAUACCAAGGCGCUUGAGAGAACUCGGGUGAAGGAACUAGGCAAAAUGGUGCCGUAACUUCGGGAGAAGGCACGCUGAUAUGUAGGUGAAGCGACUUGCUCGUGGAGCUGAAAUCAGUCGAAGAUACCAGCUGGCUGCAACUGUUUAUUAAAAACACAGCACUGUGCAAACACGAAAGUGGACGUAUACGGUGUGACGCCUGCCCGGUGCCGGAAGGUUAAUUGAUGGGGUCAGCGCAAGCGAAGCUCUUGAUCGAAGCCCCGGUAAACGGCGGCCGUAACUAUAACGGUCCUAAGGUAGCGAAAUUCCUUGUCGGGUAAGUUCCGACCUGCACGAAUGGCGUAAUGAUGGCCAGGCUGUCUCCACCCGAGACUCAGUGAAAUUGAACUCGCUGUGAAGAUGCAGUGUACCCGCGGCAAGACGGAAAGACCCCGUGAACCUUUACUAUAGCUUGACACUGAACAUUGAGCCUUGAUGUGUAGGAUAGGUGGGAGGCUUUGAAGUGUGGACGCCAGUCUGCAUGGAGCCGGCCUUGAAAUACCACCCUUUAAUGUUUGAUGUUCUAACGUUGACCCGUGAUCCGGGUUGCGGACAGUGUCUGGUGGGUAGUUUGACUGGGGCGGUCUCCUCCUAAAGAGUAACGGAGGAGCACGAAGGUUGGCUAAUCCUGGUCGGACAUCAGGAGGUUAGUGCAAUGGCAUAAGCCAGCUUGACUGCGAGCGUGACGGCGCGAGCAGGUGCGAAAGCAGGUCAUAGUGAUCCGGUGGUUCUGAAUGGAAGGGCCAUCGCUCAACGGAUAAAAGGUACUCCGGGGAUAACAGGCUGAUACCGCCCAAGAGUUCAUAUCGACGGCGGUGUUUGGCACCUCGAUGUCGGCUCAUCACAU